AGCGGCGUGCUAUACAUGCAAGUCGAGCGGACAGAAGGGAGCUUGCUCCCGGAUGUUAGCGGCGGACGGGUGAGUAACACGUGGGUAACCUGCCUGUAAGACUGGGAUAACUCCGGGAAACCGGAGCUAAUACCGGAUAGUUCCUUGAACCGCAUGGUUCAAGGAUGAAAGACGGUUUCGGCUGUCACUUACAGAUGGACCCGCGGCGCAUUAGCUAGUUGGUGGGGUAAUGGCUCACCAAGGCGACGAUGCGUAGCCGACCUGAGAGGGUGAUCGGCCACACUGGGACUGAGACACGGCCCAGACUCCUACGGGAGGCAGCAGUAGGGAAUCUUCCGCAAUGGACGAAAGUCUGACGGAGCAACGCCGCGUGAGUGAUGAAGGUUUUCGGAUCGUAAAGCUCUGUUGUUAGGGAAGAACAAGUGCGAGAGUAACUGCUCGCACCUUGACGGUACCUAACCAGAAAGCCACGGCUAACUACGUGCCAGCAGCCGCGGUAAUACGUAGGUGGCAAGCGUUGUCCGGAAUUAUUGGGCGUAAAGGGCUCGCAGGCGGUUUCUUAAGUCUGAUGUGAAAGCCCCCGGCUCAACCGGGGGAGGGUCAUUGGAAACUGGGAAACUUGAGUGCAGAAGAGGAGAGUGGAAUUCCACGUGUAGCGGUGAAAUGCGUAGAGAUGUGGAGGAACACCAGUGGCGAAGGCGACUCUCUGGUCUGUAACUGACGCUAAGGAGCAAAAGCCUGGGGAGCAUACUAGAUUA
rnacentral:rRNA from 1 species